rfam:Candidate division WOR_3 bacterium SM1_77 WOR1_30_36_2436, whole genome shotgun sequence.
CGUUCCCUGCGGUGCCCGUGAUCGGUAUGAAGUCUUGAGCCAACACCCAUCUUAAGGGAGCCAAGUUCGACCAGGGAUUUUACCCGAAGUCGACUGGCGCCCACCUUAACCUUGGGUUCAAAGACUUUUUACCACACGGCACUUGCGGGGGGCUU